GACGAACGCUGGCGGCGUGCUUAACACAUGCAAGUCGAACGGAAAGACCCUGCUUUUGUGGGGUGCUCGAGUGGCGAACGGGUGAGUAACACGUGAGUAACCUGCCCUUGACUUUGGGAUAACUUCAGGAAACUUGGGCUAAUACCGGAUAGGAGCUCCUGCUUCAUGGUGGGGGUUGGAAAGUUUCGGCGGUUGGGGAUGGACUCGCGGCUUAUCAGCUUGUUGGUGGGGUAGUGGCUUACCAAGGCUUUGACGGGUAGCCGGCCUGAGAGGGUGACCGGCCACAUUGGGACGGAGAGACGGCCCAGACUCCUACGGGAGGCAGGAGGGGGGAAUAUUGCACAAUGGGCGGAAGCAUGAUGCAGCAACGCCGGGUGCGGGAUGACGGCCUUCGGGUUGUAAACCGCUUUCGCUUGUGACGAAGCGUGAGUGACGGUAAUGGGUAAAGAAGCACCGGCUAACUACGU
rnacentral:rRNA from 1 species